rnacentral:tRNA from 1 species
GCCUUUAUAGCUCAGAUGGUAGAGCGCGUCCUUGGUAAGGACGAGGUCAGCGGUCCGAUUCCGCUUGAAGGCU